rnacentral:snoRNA from 1 species
CACCUCUCAGGGUCGCACCUGGAGAGUUUCCAGUACUCUACCAGUCUUGGCUAUGGGAGGCAAUGUCAAGCAGAGGCAUACCCAUUCCAUUCCUAGCUUGGGAGGUGGCUAGCGAAUGGAAGGCAAUCUGCUACAAGU